ACUCAUAGAGAAUAAUAAUAUAGUUCUACAGAGGCUCCUGGAGAUAUUUUUUGUUUUGUGUCAUGUGAGCAAUGAGUAAUUCGGUAAUCUGGGACAACACUGAUUUUCCACCAUAAAACCUUAAUUGUACUGGAAUUAAAAAGAGACGUGCAUUGAGCUGCAGACAAAAUAAACAAUAGAUCCUGUUUAAUUCGAUGGAUGGGAUUUUCCGAAUUUCUCUCAAGGCUUGAAUAGAAUCUUCAAGUUUCUGGAGUCUUCUCCCCAAGAUGUUAUUGACGUUCGUUCUUCUUUAGUCUUCUAGUCUUUCCACCAAAGAAAAGAGGAAGGACUUAGUUUGUUUUGGACUCUUUAUUGUGAUGCUGUAUCCUGAUUGGUUAUACGCUGUUGCUGUGUGAUUAUUUUUUCUUCCUUUCAGUUUUCUUUGCUGUUAUUUUGGUGUCAGUAAAGAAUUAUGCAAAA